rnacentral:rRNA from 1 species
AGUAUGUGGUUUAAUUCGAAGCAACGCGAAGAACCUUACCAGGGUUUGACAUCCCUUGACGACUGUAGAGAUACAGUUUCCCUUCGGGGCAAGGAGACAGGUGGUGCAUGGUUGUCGUCAGCUCGUGUCGUGAGAUGUUGGGUUAAGUCCCCGCAACGAGCGCAACCCUUGUUGUUAGUUGCCAGCACGUAACGGUGGGCACUCUAGCGAAACUGCCGGCGACAAGUCGGAGGAAGGUGGGGACGACGUCAAAUCAUCAUGCCCCUUAUAUCCUGGGCUACACACGUACUACAAUGGCUGUAACAGAGGGAAGCGAAGGAGCAAUCCGGAGCAAAUCCCCAAAAGCAGCCUCAGUUCAGAUUGUGGGCUGCAACCCGCCCACAUGAAGUCGGAAUUGCUAGUAAUGGCAGGUCAGCAUACUGCCGUGAAUACGUUCCCGGGCCUU